GUGUCUCCUUCUCUCUCUGGCCCUCCCCUGUUCAUGCUCUGUCUCUGUCUCAAAAAUAAAUAAACAUUAAAAAAAAAAAAAAUAUGAGGGAGGAAAACCAGCAUGCCUGGAAGAGCAGGAGCGGGAGGUGGGGCAAGGAGGCACGAUUCAUUCACACCGGGCAGCGGUAAGGACUUAGAAUUUAAAUUUUAAAGUGUGGUGCCAAGACGUCACUGGGUUUAAAACAAGACCAUUUCUUGUUAAGAUGGGGACGUUGUUCUCUCAGCAAAGUGUCGAAGAUCAUCCUGUGAAAACAAAAUUCCUCAGAGGGGAGAGAGUGACCAAUACUGGGUUAUUCUCAUGAGCACCUGUAGCUACUUUUCUGAAGCUACUUCUUGGCCUUCAGGCUUCACUGUAAGAGUGAAUUUCAUUAUUUUCAAUGUCUUUCAAUAGGAUGGCGAUAGCGUGAUGGUUCUUCCAACCAUCCCUGAAGAUGAAGCCAAAAAAAUUUUCCCUAAAGGAGUCUUCACCAAAGAGCUCCCGUCUGGCAAGAAGUACCUCCGUUACACGCCCCAGCCGUAGUCCCCCAAGGAGGUGGUUAGCACAGUGAGCCAGGGGACGCCGGCUGCCAGUCAUGUUCUCCUGCACCUGUUCCAUAACAACAUCCUGGUGUGAUCACAGCCAAGGCCUUUAGGUUGCUAUACUACUGGCUUAUUAAACAAAAUGGCACUAAAAAUUUCUUGGGAUCCUUUCCUCUGUGCCUUCACCAGCAUUCUGUUCUGUUCCUGCACCGUAGCACUCUCUGCUGUCUCUGAAAUGUAGUCUGUAUGUGAGAUUCAAGUCUUGGAUGUCUACAGGAUGUGGGGUCGAUGAGGUAGUGUCAGUUGAUGGUGGAGAAAGUCUGUUCUGCUCCAUCAUAGAAUGACUGUCAGGUUUUCAGCUGUUCCAAUCAAAUCCAGAACUUGACGUUCAGAUUCCCCUGUAGAUACGAGUAUAUAACCCAAAAACUUGUACAGUAUCCAGAAAUUCUCCACUCUUCAGGGUUUUGAUCGCAGCGGGGGCAACAAACUUUUCAAUUCUAUACUUUUUCAGUAGAUAACUGAAGUGGGAUGAGCGGGGGAGGAAUCUUUAAAUAUUUUGCUAUAACGAAAAUUUUUCGAGAAAUUUCUAUUAAAAAAGAGAGGCUAUAGAAGAAGUUCCACUUGCCUGCCUGCCAGGGAGGUGGACCAGGAGGUGUGAGCGAUACGACAGUGCCAUGUGCCUUUCAUGCAAAGUAUUUCCAUAUGUCUGUCUGCUCUACACUGAUGGGCGCAAGAGCACACCUUGGGAAGAAAGGAGGAAAUGAUUGAAAAUGUUUUGUUAUAGAACUAUUCUUGCAGUGAGGGGGUGGGGCUGUUUUCUGAGUUUUGCUUUUUGGGGAUCAGCAAAUAAAUUCUUUGUUAAAACUGGAUCAGAGAAUUCUGUUGUCACGUUUUGAAGUACUAGUUUAGACUCCUGACCCAAAGGGCAGAGCUUUGCUCGCUAGGAUCGGCAUCAGUACUUUUCUCCAAAGGCAGAUACGUGAAAUUUCUUGUGACGAAAGUGGAGGAGCAGCUGACGAACAAGGAGAUUUCACCACAUCUCUUGGCCCACUUCGCUCCUUCCUGUUACUUCCCUGGGUCCUUGGGUUUGUGACCCCCCCCUGCUGUAAAGAGCUCUCCUAACAUAUUACUUUAAUUGGAUUUACAAGGCUUAAGAAUAUGAAUCUUGAGGAGAGUAGUACACCUGUGCGUUUCUGGAAAGAAUACUAACUACUGUGAACUCAUGGUCUCUCACACUUUUGUUAGGCUGUGCUGAUAAGUCCUGGGUUUAGAAAGAAGUGUCCCAUACCUAGUAUAGUCCCUUGCAUGUAGCCCUCCAUAUUUUUUUAUUGAGUAGAAUAAUGUAAAACAUGAUGCCUGGUGCCAUAUGGUAGACGAGUCAUUGUCUUUAGUUUCCUUGAAUUCUCCACAUGUAAAAUUUGAGUGACACCAAGAAGGUUGGGAAGGUAGUGAAAAUUUCAAGUUACCCAAUAUCCUGAGGAGUCCUGGUCUGAAAGACCCAAGAGGAAUGUGUCUUGCUCUUACCUCUUCGAGUCACAAUAUACUUUGCCCUUAAAGAACCAAUACCUGGACCUCUUAUAGGAUAUCUCCUAACUAGUCCUCGGAUCUUCUGUCUCCUGUCACCUUUCCAACUAUUCAGUUCUUGCUGCUCUCUUUUCUUCCCUUGGCUAUUUGAUGCCUCUUGUCCUUGUCUCUUGGAGUCUGGCUUCAACUUUCUUUCAUGGUGACAAUCCAGCAUCUAAAUCUCCGUUAAUUUUUCAGUUAUUCAACACUUGAGUGUUGAUCUUUAUUGACGGAUGGAACGUGUGCCAUUGGAUUUGCAAAUUCAAAAUCAAAUUCAUCAACUUCCCCCAAUAAAUGUAUUGCACCCCUCAUCACUCAGGCACCCAAACCCUGGUGUUUUUUUGGCCAUCUCUGUCCACAUAUAUGAUGUCAAUACAAAGACACUGAAAAUGUUCAAAGAAAAGGCAGCCAGGUAUCCCCAAAUGGAUUUCUGGCUCUGUCACCAUGAAGCCAUGAGACUUUGUGAAAAGAUUCUUUUCCAGAUGUAAAAUGUGACAUAAUACGCAUUUCCAGGGUUGAAGUGAUCCUAAGUACAUCUUCAGUGCCCUAGUGGGCAUGGAGAAUAGAGUUCCCAUCAAGAGUUGCUGCUCUCAAUUUUCAUGGAAGAACAGAAUAAACUGCAUUAUGUGUUCAAGAUUUAUUAAUUGAAAGUGAAUUCACAUAUGACAAUUGUGAUUAUGAGAGAAGCAUGAGAAGUCCAUGGGACUGUCUUCUCAGUCUUCUAAGAUUCUCACAGUGGUAAAUCUGUGGCCCCCUGUGUGGUCUUGCCACAAGUCUGAUCUCGCCUCUAACCUCCACCCUAAGUGUAGGGAUCUGCGUUGAGAUACUCAGCAAAGGGGCAGGGAACCAGAAUGGCUGUGUAGUAGUUUACUCCCAUUUGGCUCCACCCCUUUGGGGCAAUGUGAAUUGAGGAAAUACAACUUUAAUUUUUUUUUUUCUUUUUAUUUUUGAGAGACACAGAGAGAGACAGAGCAUGAAUGGGGGAGGAGCAGAGAGAGGGAGACACAGAAUCCGAAACAGGCUCCAGGCUCUGAGCUGUCAGCACAGAGCCUGAUGCGGGGCUCGAACCCACAAACUGAGAUCAUGACCUGAGCUGAAGUUGAACGCUUAACCGAGCCAUCCGGGCACCCCUGACAACUUUAAUUUUAGCUUAAAGGGUGUAUUAACUGGCCAAAAGGUCAUUACCACUUUUCUUGGCAGUAACUGGUUCAGAAAUGGGCACGUGAUUAAAUUCUUGAGAAUGAGCCACAAACAGGAUCAUUGGAGUUUCUAGAAGAAUUCUAUCCUGACAGCAUUGGAGACCUUUUUUUUUUCCUUUUUGUCUCACACAAAACAUGAUUGUUGCUAGCAGCCAUCUGACUACCUGUGCACGGGGAACCACAGAAAGGCUGGUCAACAGCAAAGUGGAGAGAAAAAAUCUGAUCAUCUUCGCUGAGUCCAUCAACCAUGAACCCAUCUUACCUCUUGACUGACACUACAUAAAAUAAUACAUGUCCUUAGGACAUAAGCCUUUUGGAGUUGGGUUUAGGCCAAAUGCAUCCUAACUGAUGUAUGUGGGAGGAAGUAUCUCCUAGUUCCAUCAGAUAUGCUAAUGAGCCUCUAAGCAAGACUGUAGAGCAGACUAAAGUAUCUCAAGUUUCAAAUGCACUAAAUCCCACAGGAGUGUGAAAAUGCAGAGCCCAGGGGCCUACCCCCAGGGACUGACUCUGCAGGUGGCCAGCUGGUGUUCAUUUGUAAUAAGCCAUGUGACUGGUGCAGAGCACAGCAGGUACUGCCCUUAACCCAGUAUCCACUUACCCCGUACUUUUCACUAAAACUGCCCAGAUCAUUAUUAAGGGUGGCAGAGUGAGAUGCCAGCCAAAAAAUCAUCUUAAGGUGAGAGGUUUAGGCACAUGACCGUGCUGGCCUGGGAUGAGGUCCAUUCCUGACUCAAAGGCAAAACCUCGUAAAGAGAAAGCUCCUUGCCCUUCUGGAAAGCAAAUAGGAUGCCUGGAGGCACAGAUGUCACUUUGCCACCCUGGGGAUAAGGCACAGGCCGAGGAUGAGGAGGCUGCAGCCUAGUCCGUGAUAACUUACUUCCUCAACCAGCUGCACCCAUCCCUUUCUGCCGAUUUCUAGAUGUUUUGUUACUAUAAGAAAAAUGAAGCCUUUAAUUAGACUAAGUCACAGGGAUGGAAGGUAUAGUACAGGGAAUAUCGUCCAUGGCGUUAGAGUAGCAUCGUGUGGUGACAGAUGGUAGCUAUGCUUGUGGUGAGCACGGCGUGACGUCUACACUUGUCCAUGUUGUGCACCUGAAACUAAUGUAACCAUAGUGCAUCAACUAUAAUCAAAAAGAGAAAAAAUGAAGCCUCUGUGGUUCAGUCACAGUGGCCGGGUUCCUACGUGUGCAGCCACAUCCAGUAUUUGCUGACACUCAGGGGAUCCACAGUCCACGCUGAAAUACUGUUCUGUUAUGGCAGGUGUCCAAAAGGUUCUAAUAAAUAGGACUGACUUUUUGUCUUAGUUUUCUUCUUAUUCUUACCUCUCUUAGGGUUUUCCCUAGAAUAGAGCAUCAAAUAUCCUUUCGAAAUCUUGUUGAAAUGAAAAGGCAUAAUGGAUUCUAAAUAAUAAACAGACCAUAACAUUCAACUUUAUUUGACUUUUAAAAAGAAACUGAAAAGUGAUAUCAAACAGUAUUAUGCAAUGCAAGACUAUUAACCUCUCCUAAACUUUGCUUUCAGCAACUAAGGUUAGAGAACAUAGUUCCAUUUUUCAACAUAUACUAAAUUGGGGAGGGAGGGAAUAACUUUUCACUGGAAAAUGUUAGGGGGUCAUUAACAACAAAUCAAAUUAUAUAAGUUGUAUGCUUCAGUCAGUAAUAUAUUAAGUGUACAAUGCUUCUGAUUACUUGAAUUCUCAUAAAUGGCUCUAUUUGGUUUCAUUUGGUAGGCCAUGAAUUAUAUUAUCAUCCUGAAGAAUUUUGAACAUCUCAAGUAUAAUGCAACUGCUUAAAGUUAGAGCUUUUCCAGCAGCUCAGUUGCUUGUGAAAUAAAUACAGCAGUAUUUAUUAGCCAUUUCAGCAACUUCUGAGUAACCUCCUUGCCAGGCAAUCCUUCAGCACGUGAGCCAGGAUAUUAGCUCAGUCUUUUACCUGACUCCACAUAUUACCUUAGCACCAUUAGUAUUCCUUUUUAAAAUAGGGUCCAGUUUCCAACUAUAAAGGAAAGUCAAAAGCAAAAUAUUAGACUAUGAGCAUUUCAGGAAAAAACAUGAACUAUCAAAAUGCAAUCAGAAAACUUAACUGAAAAUUCACAUUUUAUUAUCUGUGAACGUUCCCUCUAAAAGAUCUUACAUAUUAAGGGCUUUGAGAGAUCAGUUACGAGUAAAUACAUAUGCAUCUCUGUGCUAUCAAGCAUCAUCUUGGAAAGAGAUACUCCAUUAAUUCACUAAGAGUAGUCAAACAAAGGUGCACUUCAGGAAAAGAGAAAUGUCAGGAGAGUUGAAUUCCGGGUAACUCUGUGACUGAUUCCCAGGUAACCAGAAACUUUGUCCCUAAAUCACAAGGAGAAACUUUUUAAAAUAAUGGGGCCUGGAAAAGAACAGUGAAAAUGAGGAGUCAAUGAAGCCAAUUACUUGACCCCUCAUUAGGUUUCCCAUUUGUGAAACAGGGUCCUUUCCCAUUUGUGAAAGAGGGUCCUUUCCCGUUUAGGAAGGCUGCCUAAAAAGAACUAAGUUGCUCUCUUUAAAGGAACCAUUAAUCACACAUUCGGUCAAUGCAACUCUCCUUCCCCCAACAAACACUCUGCACACCACUCUGAUGGUCAUAAAUGACAGUGAGGGCCCCGAAUUUCUGUUAAAAGGGUCUUAGGAGGACUCCUUGGUUGGAGAUGUGGUGGCCCAAGGGUCUUCUCUUGAAGCCGCGCUUACACAGCAUACCAUUUUCCCUCGGAAAACGUAUUUACGUGGAGUGACUUCGCAGCUGGGAGACAGAGGGUGCUGGAGGCCGCUGAAGCCCAUCCUUGGCCCCAUUCACUGCUCCCUGGCCCACCUCUGCAUUCACCUAGUGCCCCGUUGCCCUGUCAGAACAACAUUCUCCUCUACUGUGCAGGGGGCUUGGGCCCAAACGACCUCUGUUAGGGGCCCUGACAGAGACUCCUUGAGUAACUAGGCCUACAGACAGGUCCCCCACUCCCCAGACUUCCCUCCACUCUGUCCUGGCCUGAUGUGACCAGCCUUCCCCCCUCCUAUUCCAGACAUGGACUUCUCAAAAUUUUCCAAAUUAGCCCUGAUUGCUGAGGAGAGUAGGAAAAGAUGUCAGGGCAAAACCUAAGUGACUCUCCAUAAUAAAAUGGCCUGAAGUCUUCUAUUUUAUCUUAAAAAUUCAUGCAAAUUUGUCAUCCUACUCCAUGUGUGUUUUAAUAUAAAACAUUUUAAAGAAUCUAAUGGUUAAAUGAGUUUCCUCUGUUUAAAAGAGCACCAAGUAAAACUCAUACUCUAGGAAGAUGCCCUGGAUGAGCCUGUGGCUGCACAUCCCCCGGGCACAGCACCCACAUCCUCAGGGAAUACACACUUCACACGGAGAGGCACAGGCCUGUGGAUGCUAACAUCUAGUUUGUGCGCAUGGCAUGACUCUCCCCAUCCCUAACCCAUAGAUCCCUACUAUUGAGCUACUGGGAAGGAGGUGCACAGGGGGAAACUGAGCCAGAGCGUGGGGGCAGCCUGGGGCAAAAUCAUAUCUUCCAGAAACAUUCUAUCACUUUCAUCUUUAAAUAAUUCAGGUGAGGGAUGCCUGGGUGGCUCAGUCGGUGAAGUGCCCGACUUUGGCUCAGGUCAUGGUCUCACAGUUUGUGUGUUAGAACCCUGUGCUGACAGCUCGGAGCCUGGAGCCUGCUUCGGUUUCUGUGUCUCCUUCACUCUCUGUCCCUCCCCCGCUUGCGCUCUCUCUCUCUCUCUCUCUCAAAAAUGAAUAAACAUUCAGGGGCGCCUGGGUGGCUCAGUCGGCUGAGUGUCCGACUUUGGCUCAGGUCGUGAUCUCGCGGUUCAUGGGUUUGAGCCCUGCAUCCGGCUCUGGGCUGACAGCUCAGAGCCUGGAUCCUGCUUCGGAUUCUAUGUCUCCCUCUCUCUCUGCCCCUCCCCUGCUCACGUUCUGUCUCUCCCUCUCUCUCAAAAAUAAAUAAAUAUAAAAAUUUAAAAAAAUUUUAAAAAUGAAUAAACAUUCAAAAAAUAUUUUUAAUAAUCCAGGUGAGUUUUAUCCCAAUUUUUCUAAAUUAAUGAGCUGCCACUAUGAAUCUCUUUUCUUACCACCUACAUUUUGCUACUUGGCUUCACAAUUGAUUCCAGCUAUGUGGCUUAAUAUUCACAGUAAGACAAAAUCUAAUCCACGUGUCAAGUUUCUUACCUCCUUUUUUCUCUUCCAAUUAUAUUCUCUGUGGGUCGUUCGAAGACCAGUGUUGACUGAACCAAUCCAAAUACAUGCAUCAGACAGAAAAACUAAAUUAGGAAUUUAAGAGUAAAGGUAGCAGAAGAAUAUUCUGAAAUGUCAAUUUGCUUUCUCUCAGUAGGUCUCCCUUCCCCCCCUUUCAUAUGAGCUCUUUACUUUCUUCCCUUUCUUCCCUCAAGGGCGUUUGCUCUUAGGGUCCCCAGAACCUAAUGGAAAGGCCGACAAACUCAAAUGAGAACAGGGAGGUCACAUAAAAGAGGAAGCAGGCCAUACCUAAGACAAGAGGGUGAGGUGUGGACUGUGGCAAACUGCACAUUAUCUGCUUCCCCCACAACCAGCUCUGAAUGUUGCUACAUACAGGAACGAGGCCCAAGCGUUAGCAGACUUUCUGAGUUUUUCGAGAAAAGCUCAAAAUCUGGAUUUUUUUUUAUGUGAAAUUUGUCGAUGUUCAUCUUUUGCAACUUAUUCUAAAUUUUUAAAAUUUUUUUUAACAUUUAUUCAUUUUUGAGAGUGAGAGAGACAGAGUGUGAGGGGGGCAGGGGCAGAGAGAGUGGGAGACACAGAACCAGAAGCAGGCUCUAGGCUCCAAGCUGUCAGCACAGAGCCCGACGAGGGGCUCAAACUCAUGGACCACGAGAUCAUGACCCGAGCUGAAGUCAGACGCCCAACCGACGUAGCUACCCCUGCAACUUAUUUUAAAUUUUUAAAAGAAAACAUAUAUGUGGGCCCAAUCCAGUGCACUGACCUACCAUUUAUGAUUCUCGUUCCAAAUUCAUCGGGAAAUACAGCAUGAUAUAUUACCCUCGGUCUCAAAGUGAUUGCAGACAGCCCGAAGAAAGAGAGAGGCCUACAGGCCCAGGAACAGAGGAGGACCUGUACCCUGUUUCUGGCAGUGCUAAGAUCUCUGACUCAAAAGCCCUCAGGGUGCCCCAAGGGGGCUGACGCUAGGCCCUGAGCUCCAAACCCAGACCCCAGUGCCCCAAGAGUGUUGUGAAAGGCAAACUGAAGACACUGUGAGGGCUAGGGGUAACGACUAUCUCAGUGUUAAGCCAGCUUGGACAGGAGACCUGGGAACACAGAGAACUCCCCCAAAUCAAGUGCUGCACGUGACCCCAGAACAGGGCCUAGAAAGUAAGCUACAAGAAUGCCUGAGGUUGAAUUUGCUGCUAGGGCAGAAGUGGAAUCACUUAUUGAAUGUCUGUCUCUCCUCCUCACAAGGGCAGACACCUGGUUUGGCUUGCUCACCACCUAGCGCUUGGCACAGUGCCCAGCACACGAUGGGGCUGCGUCUUACAAGAAUCGUGCAAAUGAGAAAUGAGGUAUAAAAUAUUAAUAAAAUGCACUUUCUGCACGCAGUUUGAAAUCAUGUAAGCCCCUCCCCCCGAAGUAACAAUUCGUGAAGAACUGCAUAACCUCUAAGCUAGCAGAUCAUGCGGGUCAGAAACACCAGGAUGGUGCCAAUUAGAGACGAAUAUUAAGGGAGCUCGGGCAGUUGGGGAAAUGAAAACACUGGGCUUGGCAAGGCAGGGGUGCCGAGCACUACGUGAAAGAUUUCAGCGCAUUUUCUCUAGAGCAAGGCCUUGCUACCUCAUCUGCUCAGUAAUAUUGCUUAGCACCGUGAUACAUGCAGCAGGGCACUAAUACACGUUUAGCGAUUGUAAUUAGGUCGUAACUAUGGAAGCGCACCUCAAGCAAGAGAGCUGAGUUGUGGCUGCGACUGGUUUGGAGUAGUCAAAGAGCCUGGUUCAGGUUCCAUAUUCCCCUUGAUUGUUGGGAACACACCAGCUCUCCACCCCUGGACGCACUGUCAGAAAGUCUAUGCCGGCCCCAUUCCUGCUUUACCCCCAGCAGCACGGUGGGUCUCCAGGCCGCCAGGACGGGAACAGAGUACCACACAGAAGCUGCUCUACACCAGCUGUGAAGGAAGGGACGGGAGAGAGAAAGGCUACCUCAGCGUCUGGAGGACUCAGGUGGCCUCCCAGAAGUAACAUGGAGGCCAGGGUGGGCCCAAGGAUGGAGACUGGUGAUAAACCCACACAAUACCCUCAGAUCAUUUUCUUAGAAUUAGAUGAAUGUUUCAUGGUUUUCCUAUCACAGAAAGGGCUACUCCUUACCCAUGACUUUGGAGUCAUUGGUAUUUUUGGCAGGCUUGGAUGCUUGGAUAACCAGCAGCUUGCUUAAAUCUGAAGUUCCCUGAAUCUAAAGAAGAAAAGAAGUUAGUCAAAAGAGCAGACUUUGAUCUCUAAGCUGGCUGCUUCCUAACCUUUUCAAAGAAUAUAAGAAAUAAGCCAAAACUCAGAACUGGGCUUCAACCCUAAGCUCUCUAUCUUUUUCAUUUCAAAUCUCCUCUAACAUGGUUUCAUGAAGCCUUGGCCCAGAAAAUUACCUUUUGCACAUUUACAAUUAUCAGGAAGGAACUUUCCACACCUUACUUGUAACCAGACUGGAAAUUCUGUUUGGGAAAACAGGGAAACCCCCAACAUACACUCAAUUGCUUUUAUUCCUACAUGGAUGUCCAAGGGCUCAGGGCCCUGCUGUCCCAGACAGCAGGACUGUCUUCUUUUCUCAGAACUUUUGCCCUGUGUGUCCUCCAAAAUUUGCCCUCCCAGAAGGCAAGUAGGGUGCAAGUAACAAUUAUAACUAUCAUUUCUAGAUACCAGGUCCCCUCUCCCUCGAUCCUCACAAGAACCUCAGGAGAUGGCCACAGCUGUUAUCCUAACUUCACGAAUAGGAAACUGAGGGUCAGAAGGCAGGCCACCUAUGGCUCACACACUGGUGGGCACAAGGGCCAGGCUUUACACCCAAGUAUGCCUGAUCCCAAACAGCUCCUGCUGUUCCCUGCCUCACUCCCACCCCCCACUUCAAAGCUAAAGCGAUUUUCAUUUUCUAUUAGAAAAGCAGUUAAAUUACCGUCAUCCUCGGAAUUGCUGAGAGGUACAAAAUAAUAAUGUCAUGAAAGGGACGAAUGCACUUUUUAGGAGGUUUACCAACUUUUCCGAGACAUAAAUUUUUCAUUUAGUUAACAACCUCUCAUUUAAUAAAUGAACCGGCAGAAAGGGUCUCUCCUCAAGAGGAGAAACGUCCUACCCGAUUAAGGACAGGUCAGCUCUUCUCACUCCCUCUUCCUCCUCCCCACUCCUGUGCUCCACCUUCCUGCCACCCCAUCCUAUCACACCCUUGGUGUUCACACUCUUCUCCCUCACAGAUCCAUGGAAUGGUGCUAUCCAGGGCCCACUGUCAAGGUAUGCUCACAGCCCCUCACGUGGCAACAAAGUGAUGUGGCCCCUACUCAACUUUCUUCUUACUAACCAGUGCAGACCCCUUCAGAGCCACACUAGCAUAUGGUGUCGUUUCCUCGGUGUGAACUAAGGAAAAAUGUCUCCCGUCCUUUGGGAGGUACAACCCUACUCCAGGGCAAAUGGCUUGGCAAGCAGAGAGCAGGCAGAUUCCAGCUCUCAGUUCCCCCUCGGGCACACUCUUGUGUAGGGCCCAACCCUCACAACUGUACAUGGGAAGCCCUAAGCAUGCUCUGACUGUUUUGUUAAGGGCGGUAAGAACUACAGGUUAAAUUUCUUUUUAGGGUGGUCAGUUGAGUUUUAAAGUCACUUAUGGGGCACCAUGGAAAGCAAAUGACUCUUUAGAAAUAACGGUCCUUACCUGCUCACAGGUUUUAGGCAAAAUGCAAGGUGCAAGAUAUUGUACCUCUGUCUUAGUAUCAAUCACACUGCCAUAUACAAUAAUAACGAAUUUCAUAGUCACAUUAUCGAUGACCAUUUCAUUAUAGCUUGAUAAAGUCUCCACAUAUGCCAGAUUGAACGCCGCACACUUCUGAAACUCUAAGUUCUACAAUAAAAUGACAUUUUUUCUAUGAAUCAUACCAGAUGACACAUGGAAUCAAGAAGAAAGCAAACUCACUGAUUUACAGGCUUGUCAAAAGGCAUAUAGACCCUAAGACCAACAGAAAUGAUUUAUUUAGAGUUCAGAAUGGCCUCCGACAAGAUUAUAACUCAAGAGUUUUUACAUCAUUACUACUAGUGGCCCUGGAUAUGGAUGCCAGCCUGAUUUACAGGCUGGCAUGACCUCUCAAUCAGCCUCAGCAGGGUGGUCAGCUAUGCUUUGUGGAUUCAGUUUUACCAAGCAGUAAGCAAACACCCCACUUAACAAGUGAACAAACAAUAGCAAAAAGCUAAAACAAAACAAGGCAAUAUACUGAGUCUGAGUCAUACUUCAAAGCUCAGAAUUGUAGUCCUCAGAGCUGGAAGGGAGCUAUUAUGUAUGGGUUGACUUGUGUCCCCCAAAAAUUCGUAUGUUAAAGUUCUGACCCCCGGUACAUUAGAAGGUGACUUUGUUGGGGCACCUGGGUGGCUCAGUCACUUGAGCGUCCGACUUCAGCUCAGGUCAUGAUCUCACGGUUCGUGAGUUCAAGCCCUGCAUCAGGCUGUGUGCUGACAGCUCGGAGCCUGGAGCCUGUUUUGGAUUCUGUGUCUCCCUCUCUCUCUCUCUCUCUCUCUCUCUCUCUGUGCCCCUCCCUGGCUCUCACUGUCUCUCUCUCAAAAAUAAACAUUAAAAAAAUUUUUUAAAUAAAGAAAGAAUGUGACUUCAUUUGGAAAUAGGGUCAUUGCAGAUAUAAUUGUUUAAGUUCACAUGAGGUCAUAAUGGAGUAGGAUGAACAACUAAUUCAAUACGGCUGAUGUCCUUAGGGAGAUUUGGGAACUCCUGGCUGGCUCAGUCAAUAGAGCAUUCAGCUUUUGAUGUCAGGGUCUUGAGUUCAAAUCCCACUCUGGGUAUAAAGCUUACUUUAAAAAAAAAAAAAAAGGCCCGGGGGAGAUUUGGACACAGGUACACAUACAAGGGGACUCCAUGUGGGAUGAAGACUGCCAUCCCCAAGUCAAGGAGGAGGCCUGGACCAGAUUCUCCCUCCCUCAUACCUCUUAGUAGGAAUCAACCCUGCCAACGCCUCAAUUUCAGAUUUCUCCUCAAGUACUAUGAGACAAUACAUUUCUGUUGUUUAAGCCCCCCAGGUUGUGGUACUUUGUGACAGCAGCCCCAGAAAGCUAGUACACCUGCUUAGAGGUCAGUCCCGUGGUAGGAAUCCCCUGGACAGUGCCCUCACUCCGUGCACAGCUAUGUGACCCUGCCCUUAGACCUUGGUCCCUAAUGCGCAGACUGAACACUUAACUGCUGAGAGCAGCAGCUCACCUGGGGCAUGAAAAGCAUAAGAAAAUUAGCAAAUAUCCAAAAUUUUACGAGAAAAUCUUUAAAAAAUAAGCUUUUUGGUUUUUUUUAAUGUUUGGGUUUUUUUUUAAGUUUAUUUAUUUUGAGAAACAGAGAGUAUGAGCAGGGAAGGGGCAGAGAGAGAGAGGGAGAGAGAGAGAGAGAGAGAGAGAGAGAGAGAAUCCCAAGCAGGUUUCACACUGUCAGCGCAGAGCCCAAUGCGGAAGUUUGAAGCCACGAACCGUGAGAUCCUGAUCUGAGCCAAGAUCAAGGGUUGGAUGCUUAACCGCCUGAGUCACCCAAGCUCCUUAUUUUGGCUGUUAAAUGCAUGUAAAUUUUGAGUUCUAUGAUUUAGAGGAGGGUUUGCAGCAUAAGCUUAUCAGUGUUUCUAAACCUCUUUAUGUAGGUUCUAAAAGUCUUAAUUGGCUAGUUCUUUGAUGGGAAAAGACUAGAAGGAGAUAAGCCAAAGUGUUAGAUAGAGAUUCUCUGGGGGAGUAAAAUCAGGCUAGAAAGUUAUUACUAUUUUCUUAUGUUUUGUAUCUGUAUUUUCUAAUUUAGAUAAUAAAUAUGCAUGGCUUUCAAAUUGUUUUCUUAAAAAAUGAAAGGAGGGGCACCUGGGUAGCUCAGUCGGAUAAGGGUCCGACUUCAGCUCAGGUCAUGAUCUCACGGUCCAUGAUUUCAAGCUCCGAAUUGGGCUCUGUGCUGACACUUUGGAGUCUGGAUCCUGCUUCAGAUUCUGUCUCCCUCUCUCUCUGCCCCUCCCCCACUCAUGCUCUGUUCCUCUCUCUCAAAAAUAAAUAAACAUUAAAAACAAAUGAAAGGACAUUCACCUUAUUAUUGAGUCAAAUCUGACUCUGUACGCUUUCAACCUAUUGGUCUUAAUUCUCUCCUCUGGAGUUUUAUACUAGACCCUAACCGUGUCCACCUUCUCAUGAAGAGGCAAAGCAAAAGGAAAGGAGAAGAAUCUAAAUCUUUUUCCCCUUCCACUAAAAUUUUUCUGAAAAUUAUUGCCACAUAGUAAAGAAACAUGACUUCCUUAGCAUGACAUGCUAAUUUUUAAAGAAUUUUUUAGAGUGGUUUUAGGUUCACAGCAAAACUGAGAGACAGGUAUAAAGAUUUCCCAUAUACUCCAGCCUCCACAUGUGUAUAAUUUCCCCCACUAUCAAUAUCCGGCACCAGAGUGGUACAUUUAUUACAACUGAUGAACCUACACUGACACAUCAUAAUCAGCCAAAGUCCAUAGUUUUACUUUAGGGUUCACUCUUGGUGUUGUAAAUUUUAUGCAUAAAUGUGUAAUGACAUGUAUCCAUUGUGAUAGUAUCAUGCAGAGUGGUUUCACUGUCCUAACAUCCUCUAUUUAUUCCUCCUGCCCCAACUCCUAGCAACCACUGAUCUUUUUAUUGUGUCCAUAGUUUUGCCUUUUCCAGAAUGUCCUACAAUUGAAAUCAUACAGUGUGUAACCUUUUCUGGUGGCCUCUUUCACUUGGUAAUAUGCAUCUAGGUUUUUUUUCCAUGGCUUUUCACAGCUUAACAGUUCAUUUCCUUUUAAAAAUGUUUUAAAAAUCUUUUAAUGUUUAUUUUAUAUCUUGAGAGAGACAGACAGACAGACAGACAGAGAGACAGACAGACAGAGAGAGACAGAGUACAAGCAGGGGAGGCGCAGAGAUAGAGGGAGUCACAGAAUCCGAAGCAGGCUCCAGGCUCUGAGCUGUCAGCACACAGCCUGGCACGGGGCUUGAACCCACGAACCGUGAGAUUAUGACCUGAGCUGAAGUUGGACACUCAACCAACUGAGCCACCCAGGCGCCCCAAGUUCAUUUCUUUUUAGCACUGAAUGAUAUUCCAUUGUCUGGAUGUGCCACAGAGGAAUGAAUUUAUCCAUUCAUCUACUAAAGGACAUUUUUGUUGGUUGUUUCCAAGUUUUGGCAAUUACGAAUAAAAUUGCUAUAAAUAUAUGUGUUCAGAUUUCUGUGUGAACAUAAGUUUUCAACUUCUUUGGGUAAAUAUCAAGGAUACUGAUUACUGGAUCAUAUGGUAAGAGUAUGUUCAGUUUUAUAAGAAACCUCCAGACUGUCUUCCAAACCCUAUAUCCCCACCAGCAUUUGGGGCUCUCAGUGUUCCAAAUGUCGGCCAUUCUAAUAGGUGCAUAAUGGAAUCACAAUGUUGCAUUUUUCUGAGGAUAUAUGAUGUAGAUAGAACGUGUUUAUUUACCAUCUGUAUAUCUUCUUUGGUGAGGGGUCUGUUAAGAUCUUUGGCCCAUUUUUUAAUUGGGUUGUUUGUUUUCCUAUUGUUGAGUUUUAAAAGUUAUUUGUAUAUUUUAGGUAACAGUCCUGUAUCAGAUGUGUCUUUUGCAAAUAUAUAUUUUCUCCCACUCUGUGACUUGUCUUCUCAUUCUUUUCAGACGUGCGAAUCUUUUAACCCAACAUUCAUAUCCAGUCUCAUUUUACUGAGAUGCAACAAACAUUGUUGAACUCUGGUCUGUCAGUUUCCCAGUUCCUAACUUAUAAUAGGGGCUCAAAUAAUUAUUAAAUAGGAUAUAAAUAUGGAUUGUAAAUUAUGCCAAUGCUAUUACUUGUUGGAGAAAAAGUUCAUAAAAGAGGCUCGGUCACCCCAAUAAAGAUUUUAAAAAGACAGUAGAUUCAUAUUAACAUAGGUAGAGGAGACUAUAAGAAACACCACCCCAGGGAUGCCUUGGUAGCUCAGUCGGUUAAGCAUCCAGCUUCGGCUUGGGUCAUGAUCUCACAGUUCGUGGGUUUGAGCCCCAUGUUGAGCUCUGUGCUGACAGCUCGGAGCCUGGAACCUGCUUCGGAUUCUGUUGAGAAGAAAAGCUAAUAAAAACAAGAUAAAAGGGGCCAGCCAGAUGUCGGAAGCUGAAUACUCCCCUGCAUACUUUUGGCUUCUGCAAUCUUGUUUGCCUCCUGUGUCCAUGAACUGCCCAGAUAGCACCACUGAUAAGUGCCCCCUCCCCUUUGUCUUUUGUCUCUCAACCUGCUACCAUCCCAGCCAUAAUAACAGGCUGAUGCCAAGGUUCAGGGCUCAGCCUUUGGAGGUGACUCCGCUGGGCCAGGACCAGUGCGCAGUAAACAGUCUUUUCCUGAUUCCCCAAGUGUGCGUGGCUUGUCUCUUCCUGGGCACCAAGUAUUUGCUGUCACACUGUGUCUCCCUCUCUCUCUGCCCGUUUGUGCUCUAUCUCUCAAAAUAAAUAAACACUAAAAAAAAUUUUUUUUUAAAAGAAAGAAACACUACGCCAAUCAGUCCUCACUCAGAUCAUUCAAAAAGCUGCAUAGAACAAGCACCCAGUCCAAAGAGGAAACUCAAUUAGCAUCUACCUGGGUCUGAGUAGAUUGGCUCAUAAUGCCGGGGAUUUCGAGCUUGAAAGCAGAAGUCAUUAUGUUUCUGUAUAUUAGUGAAAAGGAACCAUUAUUUCCUCCAGAAAACUGCUAUUCCUCUUGUAUUCCCUAUUGACAGAGUUUAGAGCAGUGUUCUCAUCCCUGGAUGCACAUUCGAAACACCCGGGGGCUUUUCUAAAAAUGCCAAAGCCCGAAAGCACACACAAAAUAUAAGUUCCUAGUUCUUGGGAAUCUGCCUAUUUCAUAUUUGCUGAAUCUGUUUUUUUAAGGCAUGACUGUAGGUAGCCUGGAAAAUCAGCUGUGACAAGAGAACUGAAGAUCUGCAGGAAGUCAGAACAAGUGUGGUUAAAAUUCUAGAAUCUCAUUUUAGAAUAUCAGAUACAACCUUCCUUUCUGUCUCUGUCUCAAAAAUAUGAUACACAUUUCGUAAAAAGCAAAUAAAAGUCCAUUCAUAUUUUAAUCCUAUAACUUACCUCAUCAAUGAGACUUGAUUCAAAAUACUGAUAGGCAAUACUGAGUGCAAGCUUUAGCCAUAUUUUAUAUUCCAAGGAUGGCCAGAAGACAUCAAAGCCUUCAUACAAAUCCUCCAGGGAGAUAAAGCAGGCCUGAAACCACAAGAUAUCGAGCAGCAAGCUUGAUUCACAACUAAAUUAUAAGGCCAUCAGAAGACAAGGUGCCUAUAGAUUUAAUCUUCACCUGACCCCUUAGAAAAACCAUCAACUCUAGUAAAAUUAUGGUACUCUGCCAUUUAAAAGCAUUGUACUGUGGAGAAAUUGUUUGCCAUAUGUAAGAUGAUAAAAUUUACAGUUCAAUUAAAGCAUACACUUAGUGAUAAGCCAGGAAAAUAUAUACCAGUCAAUAGCUAUGGUAAAGGAUACAGCUCAUGAGCCCAAGAUUCAGGAAGUAAGCCACAUAAACUUAUCUAUUUUACUGCCACAGUAGGUGAAGUGGGCUCAAAAGAGGACUCCUGCUGCCUCAAUUUUGACCUCAGACUUCUAGUCGGGUUUUUCUUUCCAGCUUGUCUCUUGGCUCAGGCUGAAGGCCUUGGGGACAAAGCAUCCUUAGUUGGGAAUGAAACUACCCCCUCAAACAAUAGGAACUGCUCUGAGCCAGCAAGACCCCACCUGUGAUUAACUCUAAGACAGUGAUGGAUUUGACCUUCACUGUCCACCUGCUCACACCCAUCCACCUUUGCCCCACAUUUUCCUUAUAUAAACCCAGAAGUAUUUCAGCACAUUGGAGAUCAUCUUUGAGCUGCUAAUCCACUAUCUUCCUGGUGUUGGCCUCACUGAAAUAAAUUUUUUUCUUGUUUCACCAUCCCUCAUGUCUCUCUGCCUUUGGAUUUUGUCAGCAGUGGGUGGUGGAACCUGACUUGGGGCCCCACUCUGGGUGCUCUUGUACCCCUGCAUGUUGGCUAUAGACUGAUUCACAGGAUUUGUUUCCAGAGGCCAACUGCUUACCUGAAUAUGGAAGACUGCUCUUUAAGAAUUCAAGCUACAUGGACUUCAGUGACUUCACUUCAACCUUGUGACUAAAUUCAUGCCUCCUGUCCUCUUCCAGAAACUAAAUGGUAUGAAACUGAUAAAGCAACAUUCCCUUCUGUCCCACACACCCCUAAGACUCUGGACCCUGCCCCUCCCAAAGCUGAAGCUAAAGCAAAGGCUUUGAAGGCAAAGAAAGCAGUGCUGAAAGGCGUCCACAGUCAUAAAAAAAAGAUCUGCACGUCACCUACAUUCCAACGGCCCAAGACACUGCAUCUCUGAAGGCAGCCCAAAUAUCCUUGAAAGAGCACCCCCAGAAGAAACAAGCUUGACCACUAUGCCAUCAUCAAGUUCCCCCUGACUACCAAGUCAGCCAUGAAGAAAAUAGAAGACAACAACACUCUUGUGUUCAUUGUGGAUGUCAAGGCCAACAAGCACCAGAUCAAACAGGCCGUGAAGAAGCUCUAUGACAUUGAUGUGGCCAAGGUCAACACUCUAAUCAGGCCCGAUGGAGAAAAGAAAGCAUAUGUUCAACUGGCUCCUGACUAUGAUGCUUUGGAUGUUGCCAACAAAAUUGGGAUCAUCUAAACUGAGUCCAGCUGGCUAAAUCUAAAUAUGAAUAUUUUCAACAUAAAAAAAAAA
rnacentral:lncRNA from 1 species